CCUACGGGUGACUGCAGUGGGGAAUAUUGCUCAAUGGGGGAAACCCUGAUGCAGCGACGCAGCGUGAGCGAUGAAGUCUUUAGGUGUGUAAAGCUCUAUCAGCAGGGAAGAAAAUGACGGUACCUGACUAAGAAGCCCCGGCUAACUACGUGCCAGAAGCCGCGGUAAUACGUAGGGGGCAAGCGUUAUCCGGAUUUACUGGGUGUAAAGGGAGCGUAGACGGCUGUGCAAGUCAGAUGUGAAAGUCCGGGGCUCAACCCCGAGACUGCAAUUGAAACUGUGUGGCUUGAGUGUAGGAGAGGUAGGCGGAAUUCGUAGUGUAGCGGUGAAAUGCGUAGAUAUUAGGAGGAACACCGGUUGCGAAGGCAGCCUACUGGACGAUGACUGACGUUGAGGCUCGAAAGUGUGGGUAGCAAACAGGAUUAGAUACCCUUGUAGUC
rnacentral:rRNA from 1 species